UCUAGAACUUGAGAUAUGGGCUGAACACUGAACAAUGUAUGGGUUGCAUGAUAGAUUUCGACUCUGUUAUUGCUACCAUUUGAACUCGAAAAUGGCACUUUUAAAUCUUGGACUCUUAAUGAAAGUUUUAGGCCUAUAUCUUAGCUUUCCAUA
rnacentral:pre_miRNA from 1 species